rnacentral:tRNA from 1 species
CGGUAUAGCUCAGCUGGUAGAGCGGCGCAUUCGUAAUGCGUAGGUCGCAGGUUCGAAUCCUGUUGCU